CCCUGCUAAAGUCCGGAAGUGCCUCUGCUAUGAUUGUGCGCUCUCCAGCUUUUGUUACCUUGGUUUCUCAUGGCUUAAAGGAGAAACAGUUGCCAUCUCCUAAGAACACAUACUACAUAUGGAGGAACUGAAGUUUCUCACUAACAACCAGCACCAACCUGCUAGCCAGCUAUACAAACAACAUUGAAGAGUGGGUCAUCCUAGCCCUCACGCAGCCUGAAAAUGAUGCAGCCCUGACUACCAUCCUGGUUACAGCCUCACAAGGGACUCUGAGCCAGAACUGGCCAACCUCAGCUGCUACCUAAUUUCUGACCCAGAGAAAUUGUCAAGAAAAUAAAUGUCUUUUGUUCCUCUUGUAAGAGGAACUCUUAUGUCCGUUAUAAUAGCCUCUACCUGGUUGUGAAGCAGCAUCAACUGCCAGACAUGCGAGGGAACAUGUCAACAUUAUUCCCACCCCUAGAUCUGGAGCCUUCUCACUGAUGGGGAGCAGAAAAUAGUCAUCCCUACGAUGUUGUCUGAAUUCCUGAUCCACAGAAUCUCCAAAGACAAUAAAUCUCUGUUUUGAAUAAUUUGUUAUGUACCUGUAAUAAAUGGAUUAGAAAGUUC